UCCUUUCUUUCCUCCUCCAUUCUUCUCGCUUUUUUAUGUUAAAAUAUUCCAUUUGUUUAAACCAACCCAACUUGGUGGGCUUUAUUAUUUAUUAUUUCUCCUGACUGUUAAUUAGGAUUUUAUUUUUAUUUUUCAAAAUACUUUGAUUCUGGGUAAUUGGAAGCUAAGGUUUUUGGUGUGUGGUGUUUUUUUUUUUUGGAUUUUUGCCACCCUACGCAAGGGAAAGAAAAUUGUUGAAUCAUAUCAGACUUGCAAUUCAACAUGGCAGCCCCUGCUAAGAUUGUCUAGUUUUGCAAGGCUGAAAGACAUUGCAAGAAAUGCCCCUUUCUGGGGACAUAAAUUUUGAUAGAGCUAACAAAGGGAUAGAGAAAUAAGUAGCUCUUUGGAGGAAUGAUUGGGGGAAUUUUAUAUGCUGUCUUCAAGAAGAGGGAGAAUUCGGCCAUGUUAUCCUCAUCUCAGUAUUUUAAAAAGAGAGAGAAUGGAUUCUCCAGGGUGCAGAAAUGAUGGCAGAAGAUUGCAUUUGAUCAGCCAUCUUUAUCUGAACCUCAAGACCAUCAAUGUUCUUCAUAGCCAUCAUGGAAGUUUGCCAGUCCUAAACAUCAAAACAAUGCUGUCCUUGAGGCUGAGGUAGUAGAUUGAAUAGUUGUGGAGCCAUCUUCUCCCUUUGAGCUAACUAUACAAUCUACUGUCUUUCCUAAGGAGACAGUCAAUUCAACUUCUCCCAUGGGAUUACCCAUUUCUACAUGCAAGUUAUCAUCAUGAACAAUGAUCAUUUUGAGGCCCUUGGGUGUCAGGCAUGCAGUUCUAUAAAUAUGCAAAUGUGUGAGGUCUUUGUGUUGCUUUGUGGAGGUGAGGUAGUAGGUUGUAUAGUUUGUGGGAGGGAUUAAAUCCCAUUUCAGGUGAUAACUAUACAGUCUAUUGCCUUCCUUAAGGAGCAGCAAAUCUGCUUUGAGAGAUGAAUGAUACAGCAAUUAUAUGCCACAUUGAGCAACCCAACAAAACCCUGGCUCCUUACUGAUUCUACAUUGUAGGAAAAGCUUCUACCCGUAUUCUGGAUUAAACACAACAAUCAUG